CCAAUAGCGUAUAUUAAAGUUGUUGCAGUUAAAAAGCUCGUAGUUGAAUUUCGGGAUCAAUAUGUCGGUCGUGCUUCGGUACGUACUGGCGUUAUUGGUUUCUCCCUUCUGAAGAACCGCGAUGUCAUUAAUUUGGUGUCGUGGGGAAUCAGGACUGUUACUUUGAAAAAAUUAGAGUGUUUAAAGCAGGCUCGCGCUUGAAUACAUUAGCAUGGAAUAAUGAAAUAGGACGUUUGAUUCUAUUUUGUUGGUUUCUAGGAUCGACGUAAUGAUUAAUAGGGAUAGUUGGGGGCAUUAGUAUUCAAUUGUCAGAGGUGAAAUUCUUGGAUUUAUUGAAGACUAACUACUGCGAAAGCAUUUGCCAAGGAUGUUUUCAUUAAUCAAGAACGAAAGUUAGGGGAUCGAAGACGAUCAGAUACCGUCGUAGUCUUAACCAUAAACUAUGCCGACCAGGGAUCGGAUGAUGUUAAUUUUUUAAUGACUCAUUCGGCGCCUUACG
rnacentral:rRNA from 1 species